rnacentral:lncRNA from 1 species
AACGGGAAAAAUCCCAUAUGGUUUCGCACUUUUUCACUUUAGUACCCUAUAGUUUAAAGUGUAUUAAUUUACUCUUUUGUCGUUUCGUUUUUUUCUUUUUAUUAUCAAUUUUAUUAUUUUUUUUUAAAUUAGUGACAAAGUUAAAAUUAGGAAUAAUUGCCAAUAUAUCCUUCAUGCGUUUGAAUAUAUCCGGCUUAUCCCUAUUUUUUUUUCUUUCAAAAAUACCCCUCAUAUGUUCCACCGUUAUUCCAAAAUACCCCCGCAAUUAUUCCCGGUUAAACUAACUCGGGUUAAACAUGGGUUAAAUGUAUACCAAAGUUAAAACCUAAUUAAAAUACCUAUUUUACCCCUAUUUUAUUAAACUAUUUCCUUAAAUUAUUCUUUCUUUCUCUCCCAACUUAAUAUCAUUACUCUCAAUCAAGCCUGCCGCUCGCCGCCCGCCGCCGCGAGUGCCAGCAGCUCACCGCCACCGCCAACCUCGGCGCCGGCUCCUCCGCCUCCACCUUCGCCCCCAAGAAGCCUCACCUCAUUCGCACAAAAAAAACGGCCCGCAAGUCGCCGCUCUCGUCGUCGUCGCGCGUCCUCCUCCUUCGUCGCCUUGGCCGGCGCCGGGAGCAAGAGCAUGCCGGCAGACGGGACAAAAGAGGAGGAGGAGAGGGAGGCGGAGGGCAUGAAGUUAGGCGGGGGCAUGUCGGAGGAGCGGAGGGAGGGGACGGCGGAGCCGGUGGAGAUGAAGAGGGGGCGGAGCUCAU